UACGUAGGGUGCAAGCGUUAAUCGGAAUUACUGGGCGUAAAGCGUGCGCAGGCGGUUUUGUAAGUCUGUUGUGAAAUCCCCGGGCUUAACCUGGGAAUUGCAUUGGAGACUGCAAGGCUAGAAUCUGGCAGAGGGGGGUAGAAUUCCACGUGUAGCAGUGAAAUGCGUAGAGAUGUGGAGGAACACCGAUGGCGAAGGCAGCCCCCUGGACUAAGACUGACGCUCAUGCACGAAAGCGUGGGGAGCAAACAGG
rnacentral:rRNA from 1 species